rnacentral:rRNA from 1 species
AUUGAACGCUGGCGGCAGGCCUAACACAUGCAAGUCGAGCGGUUGAGGGGAGCUUGCUCCCUGAUUCAGCGGCGGACGGGUGAGUAAUGCCUAGGAAUCUGCCUAUUAGUGGGGGACAACGUUUCGAAAGGAACGCUAAUACCGCAUACGUCCUACGGGAGAAAGCAGGGGACCUUCGGGCCUUGCGCUAAUAGAUGAGCCUAGGUCGGAUUAGCUAGUUGGUGAGGUAAUGGCUCACCAAGGCGACGAUCCGUAACUGGUCUGAGAGGAUGAUCAGUCACACUGGAACUGAGACACGGUCCAGACUCCUACGGGAGGCAGCAGUGGGGAAUAUUGGACAAUGGGCGAAAGCCUGAUCCAGCCAUGCCGCGUGUGUGAAGAAGGUCUUCGGAUUGUAAAGCACUUUAAGUUGGGAGGAAGGGUUGUAGAUUAAUACUCUGCAAUUUUGACGUUACUCGCAGAAUAAGCACCGGCUAACUCUGUGCCAGCAGCCGCAGUAAUAC